GAUGAACGCUGGCGGCGUGCCUAAUACAUGCAAGUAGAACGCUGAAGGAGGAGCUUGCUCUUCUGGAUGAGUUGCGAACGGGUGAGUAACGCGUAGGUAACCUGCCUGGUAGCGGGGGAUAACUAUUGGAAACGAUAGCUAAUACCGCAUGACAACAGUUAUUGCAUGAUAACUGUUUAAAAGGGGCAACUGCUCCACUACCAGAUGGACCUGCGUUGUAUUAGCUAGUUGGUGAGGUAACGGCUCACCAAGGCGACGAUACAUAGCCGACCUGAGAGGGGGGUCGGCCACACUGGGACUGAGACACGGCCCAGACUCCUACGGGAGGCAGCAGUAGGGAAUCUUCGGCAAUGGACGGAAGUCUGACCGAGCAACGCCGCGUGAGUGAAGAAGGUUUUCGGAUCGUAAAGCUCUGUUGUAAGAGAAGAACGAGUGUGAGAGUGGAAAGUUCACACUGUGACGGUAUCUGACCAGAAAGGGACGGCUAACUACGUG
rnacentral:rRNA from 1 species